GUUCUUUAAAUGCUUGACAUAAAUGUGUCGCAUCAACAGUAGCUGCUGAAUUCAAUGUUAUUGACAGAAACCAGUGUGACGUUGUGGUUUUAAAUCUUUGACAGAGGAGAAGCUGAAAGCUGAUGAACAGAACAAGACGGGAAGGAAAGAACCUGACGAACCAACAGUUGAUCUGGAGCUGAUGCAGGUCACUGUGGAUGAUGAUGACGACGACAACAGUGGAUCUGAAUCAGAUCACUAGAAGGAGAAGCAGCUGCUGAGGACCAGAGGAUAAACCUCCACCUGCUGAACCUCAUCAUCUUCAGGACUUCACUGCUGAGAGCUGACCUGGUUCAAGAAGAUGUUGCAACAGCUGUUGAAC